rnacentral:rRNA from 1 species
AGUGAACGCUGGCGGUAGGCCUAACACAUGCAAGUCGAACGGCAGCACAGUAAGAGCUUGCUCUUACGGGUGGCGAGUGGCGGACGGGUGAGGAAUACAUCGGAAUCUACUUUUUCGUGGGGGAUAACGUAGGAAACUUACGCUAAUACCGCAUACGACCUACGGGUGAAAGUAGGGGAUCUUCGGACCUUGCGCGAUUGAAUGAGCCGAUGUCGGAUUAGCUAGUUGGCGGGGUAAAGGCCCACCAAGGCGACGAUCCGUAGCUGGUCUGAGAGGAUGAUCAGCCACACUGGAACUGAGACACGGUCCAGACUCCUACGGGAGGCAGCAGUGGGGAAUAUUGGACAAUGGGCGCAAGCCUGAUCCAGCCAUACCGCGUGGGUGAAGAAGGCCUUCGGGUUGUAAAGCCCUUUUGUUGGGAAAGAAAAGCAGCAGGUUAAUACCCCGCUGUUCUGACGGUACCCAAAGAAUAAGCACCGGCUAACUUCGUG